UAAAGGCAUGGUCCUGACCUUAUUAUUAGCUUUAACCCAACUUACACAUGCAAGUCUCCGCAGUCCCGUGAGUAUGCCCUUAAUCCCCUGCCCGGGGACGAGGAGCGGGCAUCAGGCACAAACUUUUUAGCCCAAGACGCCUGGCCGAGCCACACCCCCAAGGGAAUUCAGCAGUGAUAAACAUUAAGCCAUAAGUGAAAACUUGACUCAGCCAGGGUUUAAGAGGGCCGGUAAAACUCGUGCCAGCCACCGCGGUUAAACGAGAGGCCCUAGUUAAUAAUACACGGCGUAAAGGGUGGUUAAGGGGAGCAUAAUAAUAAAGCCGAAUGGCCCUUUGGCUGUCAUACGCUUCUAGGUGUCCGAAGCCCAAUAUACGAAAGUAGCUUUAAUACAGCCCACCUGACCCCACGAAAACUGAGAAACAAACUGGGAUUAGAUACCCCACUAUGCUCAGCCGUAAACCUAGAUGUCCAGCUACAAUUAGACAUCCGCCCGGGUACUACGAGCAUUAGCUUGAAACCCAAAGGACCUGACGGUGCCUUAGACCCCCCUAGAGGAGCCUGUUCUAGAACCGAUAACCCCCGUUAAACCUCACCACUUCUAGCCACCCCAGCCUAUAUACCGCCGUCGUCAGCUUACCCUGUGAAGGCAAUAAAAGUAAGCAAGAUGGGCACAGCCCAGAACGUCAGGUCGAGGUGUAGCGUACGAAGCGGGAAGAAAUGGGCUACAUUUUCUACAAUAGAACACUACGGACAUGCAACAUGAAAUAGUGCUUGAAGGAGGAUUUAGUAGUAAAAAGGAAGCAGAGUGUCCUUUUGAACCCGGCUCUGAGGCGCGUACACACCGCCCGUCACUCUCCCCUGUCAAAAUGCAAUAAAGAUAUCUAACACCAAAGCGCUGACAAGGGGAGGCAAGUCGUAACAUGGUAAGUGUACCGGAAGGUGCACUUGGAUUAAAUU
rnacentral:ncRNA from 1 species